rnacentral:rRNA from 1 species
UACGGAGGGUGCAAGCGUUAAUCGGAAUUACUGGGCGUAAAGCGUGCGUAGGCGGUUCGUUAAGUCUGUUGUGAAAUCCCCGGGCUCAACCUGGGAAUUGCGAUGGAGACUGCAAGGCUAGAAUCUGGCAGAGGGGGGUAGAAUUCCACGUGUAGCAGUGAAAUGCGUAGAGAUGUGGAGGAACACCGAUGGCGAAGGCAGCCCCCUGGGUCAAGAUUGACGCUCAUGCACGAAAGCGUGGGGAGCAAACAGG